CCCACUUCUCCUCAUGGCUUGAGGCAGGUUACAAAAUAAUUAAAACACAUAAACACACAGAACAGCACUUUCAUCCCAUUCCCUUGGUCCUUAGCUACAACUUGCACUAGACCUUUCCUUUUUUCUUGUUUAUAGUUGGCCAUGUGUUAUGACAGAUGACACUAUAGAUUAUUGGGUGCUGUUCUGAGAUCAAAUUGUUUUAUAUACUAGCAGUUUUAUUUUUUAUUGUACUGUGUGUUUAUUUUAUGUAUUGUUUUAUGUAUUGUUUUAUGUAUGUAUUGUGCCAUAUGUAAGCUUCCCUGAGUCCCUUUAGGGAGAUAGAGGCAGGGUACAAAAAUAAAAUUGUUGUUGUUAUUAUUAUUAUUAUUGUAAAAAUUCCACAAAUAAACAUAUUAAAACAUAUUUAUAUAAAAUACAUAUUAAAAUACACAAAACAGAGAUAGGGAGGGAUUGUGUAUGUGUGUGUGCAUGAGAGAGCGAGUUGCAAUUUUUGUAGACAGAAUGUGCAUUCUAAAAUGGGAUGGGCUCAAAUCAAGUCUUCAAGAAGCACUUUCUAAUAGUACUUUAUCUCCAUCACUAUCAUCUUUGUGGUUUCUGAGAAGAUCAGGCCAUUGUAGACCUGCUGUCCUUAACUAUGUGCCCUCUAAAUACAUUGUGCUACAACUCAAUUAUAUGGAUUAGGGAUUUGGAAUUUUGUAGCCUUACAUAUCCAGAAUGGGAUUGGGUGAAGCCUAAUCUAAAUAGUUGCUUCUAGAAGUUACUUUGGAUAUGAUAAUAGUAGUAAUAGGGGCCACCUCUCGUCAAACUCAUUUUUGACAGGUGCCACGCCCCCCUUGAAGCAGGAAGUCCUGCCCCUUGAAGCAGGAAGUGCCACCUCCUAAAAGAGGAACUCCCUCCUCCUAAAAACAGGAAAUGCAAUCCCGGGAGACCCUUCCCCCUGAGGUGAAGCCCUCCCACAACCCACAGCCCACCCCCACCCCCCCCCAGGGGCAAGCACAGACAUGUUUCAAUGAGGCAUUCAUGGUGAUGCGUAUGGGCUGAAAGGCCCCUUGCCUAGACUGACCCCUCUGCUUGAGGAAAUGGGGCAGCCAGGACCGUGUGCUAGGUCUUAGUGGUGAGCUCUGUGCUCUGUGACCAACAGCCAAUGGAUUUAGGGCCAUAAGGUCAUCAUGUGAUACUGGGAGGGCCCAUUAGGGCGGAGCUUUUAGGAAUAAAUACUCCAUGUGAGUUUUAGUGCAUCCCUUGACUGCUUUCAGAGGAAUGGAAAAUAUGGAAUUAUCAGAUGCCAGUGUUUCUUCCUCAGAGCUACCUGAUUCAACAGUUGAUGAAUCCCAAAGCAGGAAACGCUUCAUAAGUUCAAGUUCUGAUGAGGAUGAUGACUGUGAUUUAGCUAAAAGAAAAUGUGAGGAAGACCGGGUGGUUUCCGAAUCAGCUAACAGGCUUUUGGAAACACUUUCAUCAGAACCAGCAAUACCAUCCUCUGAGCAGGUAAAAAACAUAAAACUAUUAUUCUGAUCCCUCUUAGGGUUGAAAGGGUCUAUUUCAAGGAGCAAAAUUGUGAACUGAAAGCACUUACACUUAUCUUUUAAAUCAUUUUAGGUGGUUACAGAAAAUUCAUCAGGGGCAGCUAAAGAAGAAGAAGUUAAGUCACCAUCUAUCGCUGCUAUUUGGAAGCUAUGCUGCGUAGCAUCAAGCCAGCUACAAGAGACCCCUGAAAUGAGUGCUAUUCAACGCCCAGGCCAUGUGAUUAUGUCAAGCAUUCUUGGAUUGGAUGUCAAGACUGAAACAGGGAAUGUAGAGCAGAAGACGGUCAUGUUGGAGACCGCCAAAGCAACCGUUUACGGGAUAUUAGAUCACUGUUUAAACGAAAUAUUAUUUGAGGCGUGUCCGGGUUGUCAGAUUUU